GGGAACCCGGUGCGAAUCCGGGACGGUCCCGCCACUGUGACCGGACGCCAGGUCCGGCGAGUCAGACC
rnacentral:ncRNA from 1 species